GAUGAACGCUGGCGGCGUGCCUAAUACAUGCAAGUCGAGCGAACGGACGAGAAGCUUGCUUCUCUGAAGUUAGCGGCGGACGGGUGAUUAAUACGUGGAUAACCUACAUAUAAGACUGGGAUAACUUAGGGAAACCGUAUCUAAUACCGGAUAAUAUUUUGAAACGCAUGGUUCAAAAGUGAAAGACGUUCUUGCUGUCACUUAUUGAUGGAUCCGCGCUGCAUUAGCUAGUUGGUAAGGUAACGGCUUACCAAGGCAACGAUGCAUAGCCGACCUGAGAGGGUGAUCAGCCACACUGGAACUGAGACACGGUCCAGACUCCUACGGGAGGCAGCAGUAGGGAAUCUUCCGCAAUGGGCGAAAGCCUGACGGAGCAACGCCGCGUGAGUGAUGAAGGUCUUCGGAUCGUAAAACUCUGUUAUUAGGGAAGAACAUAUGUGUGAGUAACUGUGCACAUCUUGACGGUACCUAAUCAGAAAGCCACGGCUAACUACGUG
rnacentral:rRNA from 1 species